rnacentral:sRNA from 1 species
GAAGAACAUGUUAAACUAAAACAAUUCAAUGUAAAGGUGUACUAAAAUACCUGUAGAACAUAAUUUUAAUCUUAUUUCUUUGGUUUAAAAUAAUUAAAACAGUCAUAUAUCCAAUUUUUUUAUCGUAUACUGACUGCUUUCCUAUACAUCCCUAACAAAACCUGAAUAUUUAAAUGAUGUCGUAUGAGAUAAUUAAGACUCUUAGAGCAUGGUGAUUGUGUAAUUUGCGUUUCUUUGAAUAUAUUUAAACUAAAUGUUGUAUAAUAUUGAAAAUGUCUUAUGUUCGCAAAUGUGCUAUAUCUUAGGCCAAAUCAUAUAUUAAGUGUGCUAUACCUCUUUUACAUUUUAUUGUUAAUAUUGAAAAAAUACAUUACUAACGUAUAUCUUAUAUGGUCAGCAUUUUAACGUCAAUUGUCAAGGUUUAAGCGAGAUACAGGGCUCACAUUUCUUUGCUGUGUAAACAAAGCUCGUAUCAUGUUAUAGUUAAUAUAGGUAGUAUAUAUUGGUAAAAGCAUAUUUGUCGUAUUAUUUUUCUGUCUGCAUUAUCAUUUAUUGUUCACAUAAUAACACAAUUUCUAGUGUUGUCACUUCCUAAUUUGAUUUUUGAGGGUUUUUUUUAGGAACCUAGAUGUAAACAAACAUAAGACACCACCUAUAUCAAACAUUAAAACUGGAAAAGC